rnacentral:rRNA from 1 species
GAUGAACGCUGGCGGCGUGCCUAAUACAUGCAAGUCGAACGCUGGAAAUCUAGCUUGCUAGAUUGAAGGAGUGGCGAACGGGUGAGUAAUACAUAAGCAACCUACCCACGAAGACUGGGAUAAUCUCUGGAAACGGGGACUAAUACCGGAUAGGUAAUCGGAAGGCAUCUUCUGAUUAUUAAAGGUUAAAAACACUGGUGGAUGGGCUUAUGGCGCAUUAGUUAGUUGGUGAGGUAACGGCCCACCAAGACGAUGAUGCGUAGCCGGCCUGAGAGGGUGAACGGCCACAAUUGGAAUGGGGACCCGCCCAAGCUCCCUCCGGAGGCAAGAAUAAGGAAAUUUCCGGAAUGGGGGAAACCCUUACCGAGCCACGCCGCGUUGGUUAAUGCCGCCUUCCGGGUUUUAAGCCCUUUUGGUAAGGAAAAACCGUAAGUAAAGAAUUUCUUAAUUGCGGUACCCUACCAGAAAGCCACGGCUAACUACGUG